GAGGGUCCUUGGCGUUGGUCAUAAAAUCGGUUGCCCAAGCCGGAAGAGCGGGAGUGCAAGAGUGGAAAACGUGCGCAGUGCGGCUCAGGAAUGUUCCUUCGUUCUGCCAUUAGCCUCCGGUAUUUGGACGCCCGCUCCGUAUCGCUCUGGUGGGUGGCACCUGAUCGGUCUCUCGGUCACUGCACAGUGUCAGCCUUAUUUGUCCGUAAGGUUACGCAAAGGGUAUUUAGUCUGCACUGAUGAUGUUUACUUUGCUAAUAAGCGUUGCGCCAAGGCCCCGUUCUCGUUUUCUCAGCCGGGUUAAACGUGUCGCUCUCUCUCGCUCUCGGCCGCUGUUGGAAGGUGAGAAAAUGGACGGACGGAUGAACUCCUGAGAAACUCCAAAAUAGCUGGAAAUGUUUAGAAAAUGAUCGAUUGAAAUGUGCUGAAAUGUAUUUCCUGGUUUUUAUCAGACUGCGAAUGUGCAACGAAUGUUUGGUUGAGCGUUUGAAAGCAUUUCUAUUUUGAAUACAAUACAUA